UACAGAGGUCUCGAGCGUUAGGCGGAAUCACUGGGCUUAAAGCGUGUGUAGGCGGAUUGGUAAGUACCUUGUGAAAUCCCACGGCUUAACCGUGGAACUGCUUGGUAUACUGCCUGUCUUGAGCCAGCUAGGGGCGACCGGAACAAAUGGUGGAGCGGUGAAAUGCGUAGAUAUCAUUUGGAACGCCAAUGGUGAAAACAGCUCGCUGGGGGUUUGCUGACGCUGAGACACGAAAGCCAGGGGAGCAAACGGG
rnacentral:rRNA from 1 species